UACGAAGGGGGCUAGCGUUGUUCGGAUUUACUGGGCGUAAAGGGCCAGUAGGCGGCCAACUAAGUCCGACGUGAAAUCCCCAGGCUUAACCUGGGAACUGCGUCGGAUACUGGAUGGCUUGAAUUCGGGAGAGGGAUGCAGAAUUCCAGGUGUAGCGGUGAAAUGCGUAGAUAUCUGGAGGAAUACCGGUGGCGAAGGCAGCAUCCUGGACCGACAUUGACGCUGAACGGCGAAAGCUAGGGGAGCAAACGGG
rnacentral:rRNA from 1 species